rnacentral:rRNA from 1 species
UGAGGAAUAUUGGGCAAUGCACGCAAGUGUGACCCAGCAACGCCGCGUGAACGAUGAAGGCCUUUUGGUCGUAAAGUUCUGUGAGGAGGGAUGGAAGGUCUGUUUCCGAUAAAGGAAUAGAUUUGACCGUACCUCCAGAGGAAGCCCCGGCUAACUACGUGCCAGCAGCCGCGGUAAUACGUAGGGGGCAAGCGUUGUCCGGAUUUACUGGGUGUAAAGGGCGCGUAGGCGGGUCGGUCAGUCAGAGGUGAAAGCCUGCAGCUUAACUGCAGAACUGCCUUUGAUACUGCCGAUCUUGAGUAUGGAAGAGAGAAGCGGAAUUCCGGGUGUAGUAGUGAAAUACGUAGAUAUCCGGAAGAACACCGGUGGCGAAGGCGGCUUCUUGGUCCAUUACUGACGCUCAGGCGCGAAAGCGUGGGUAGCAAACAGG